ensembl:lncRNA
CCUUUCCCUUCUCCAGAGGAUCUUCCCAACCCAGGGAUCAAACCCAGGUCUCUUGCAUUGCCGGUGGAUUCUUUUCCAGCUGAGCCACCAGGGAAGCCCAAGAAUACUGGAAUGGGUAGCCUAUCCCUUCUCCAGCAGAUCUUCCUGACCCAGGAUUCAAACCGGGAGGUUCUUUACCAGCUGAGCUAUCAGGGAAGCCACACUAUUUGCCACGUUAUUGACUUGGACCUGUUUAUCAUAAUUCAGCACUUUCUCCACCCAGAAACCCAGAGGACGCAGUUCUUCCAGGGAGGGGCAUGUCAUGAGGGAAGAUCCUCACUUAAGUGAUAGGAAUCAGUGGGAAAAAAAUUUUGUCACUCUUCACAUUUCUUUCUUCAUUGACUCCAAGACAAUAGUGGAAUCACAAGACAAAAAGAGCCUGGGUCACUGAAUCACCAUGCGGAGGAUGGCCACCAAUACACCUGGAAUAUCUACAAUAGACUCCAACUCCUGAGUCUCAAACUUCUACCACUUGUGGGCACCAUGAUGGCAGAUGUAGUGGGCAGAAUUUCU